CCUACGGGAGGCAGCAGUGAGGAAUAUUGGUCAAUGGUCGGGAGACUGAACCAGCCAAGCCGCGUGAGGGAUGAAGGUACAGUGGAUUGUAAACUUCUUUUAUCUGGGAAUAAAGUCGGGAACGUGUCCCUUUUUGUAUGUACCUUAUGAAUAAGCAUCGGCUAACUCCGUGCCAGCAGCCGCGGUAAUACGGAGGAUGCGAGCGUUAUCCGGAUUUAUUGGGUUUAAAGGGUGCGUAGGUGGUCAGUUAAGUCAGCGGUGAAAGGUUGUGGCUCAACCCCAAAAUCGCCGUUGAAACUGGCAGUCUUGAGUUGGAGAGAGGUAGGCGGAAUGCGCGGUGUAGCGGUGAAAUGCAUAGAUAUCACGCAGAACUCCGAUUGCGAAGGCAGCAUGCCGACUUCACACUGACACUGAGGCACGAAAGCGUGGGUAUCGAACAGGAUUAGAUACCCUAGUAGUC
rnacentral:rRNA from 1 species